AAUAAAUAAAUAAAAUCUUUUAAAUAAAUAAAUAAAAGAAAAAGAAAACAGCACGAGGGGGAAUCUCCUGUAAGAUAUUACUGGGUGUUCUAUAGGAAUCAUAAAGGACAUUACAGCAAAGAAAAUAGGACAUAAUCAUAAAAUGCUAUUUAAAAGUAUAAAAGUCCUUUUAUUAAAAGAUUUUUCCCCACAUACAACUAGUAUUUUCUAAUUUCAUGAUUUUCUUAGGUGUCUAUAUUCAUAGUCUAGAAAAAAUAGGCUUGAAUAGCUGGUGUGAUUUUAAAAUACAGAAACUGAAAUAAAAGAAUUAUACAUGAAAAGAUAAUCAACAUUGAAGACAGAAUGAGAGAAAAUAGGCCCUCACAGCAAUAGGAAUAAAGUUCAAGAGCCCUUUCAAAAUGAAGAGGCCUCCCAUAGCCCCAGUUCGAGGGAGGAGCCCUAUUUAGGCCUGUGUCCUGCCUUCUCCUGUCAUGACUACAGCUGAUUGGAUAAGAAGACUGUACUAUAGCUUCCCAGUGAAGCAAUAUCCCAUUAUCUGGUGGUGUGAAAAGAUGAAUUCAAACAAUCAGAUAUUUUCUCUUAAAAUUCUGAAUUGGGAAAUGUAAAAAGAAUCAAGCACUUAGCAGUAGAAGUUGAAGCCAAAAUAAAACUAUCCGAAAGUAUGGUUUUAAGUGUUUACCACACACAUUUAUAAACACACGCUUUUAAAAAAAGGAAAGAAAAAGAACUUAGCAUUUCCCAUUCUGUAGAUGUAGUAUAAUACAUCUACCUGCCUGUUGUCUAACCACCUCAAUUCUCAGCCUGGAGUUUGUAGGGAGGGAAUGUAUUUCAGAAGAUACUCAGAUCUAUUUGUUCUCUGGGCCCCCACAUCCUUGUAUGCAACAUGGUAGUAUAGGGUGUCAAGUAGAGUCUUUUCUAUUUCCUUAAAUCUGUGACUACAGCCCAUAACUGGGGCCAUAAAACAGUAAAUACAUCACAUCUGAAGUGUGGAGUCAAUCCCUUCUCCUUUAGGAGUGACUCCGAGAAAUCAUUGUAGCAUAACCAGCAAUAUAACACAAAAAUCCCCCAAUAUGCCCCCCCCCACACACACACACAGUCUAUGUAAAGAGACUAGAAGGGCAACAAAAUGAGGCACCAUCCAGAAUGUAAACUCCAUGAAACUGUCUAUGUUAUUCACUGAUAUGUUGUAAGAGCAAUGGAAUAGCACUUGACACCUAGGUUUAUGCUCAAUACAUAUUUGUUGAGUGAAUUUCAGGAAAGCAGGAUUUCCAUAAAAGUUACCCCUCACCUUACCUCCCAGUGCAAUCACUUGUAAAGUGCCUAGGACUCUUGAGGGGAAAAAAAAUCUGGUAUUGACUCUCCACUUGGGAUCCCCUGAGCCCCAGGGAUCUCUGAUUGCUGACGAUGUAGGGAGUAGAUGAGGGAAAAAAUGGAACAGCCCACCAGAGAGACAAGACGCACUCCCUCAGAUCUUUGGUAACCUUUCAAGUCCUGAAAAGUAGGGGAGAAGGUUGGCUACAUGGAUAAGGCCACUCAGUUUUUAAAUUUCACAACACCAGAGGACAUCAUCCCCAGAAGACACUGGUAGGGGGCAGAAUGGCUCAGGUGGCGGGUGGGGGGUGGGGUGGAAGGUAGAUGAGAUUGAGGAAUGAAAGCCUGUUAUCAUCUGCCAAAGCGUGGGACAGAAAAGCACACGUAAGAGGAAGUUAGCAUGAUAUGACCAGCCAGAAGCAGCAACUGAAUCCCUCAAGGAGCUCCUGAAGUAUAGUAAUGGUGGCCGCUCAACACUGAGUGCCUCACCAAGCUAGCCAAACCAUUUACAGUGAGCUAAAUCGGCCACCUCAACAAAAUAUGUUUUACAAUGAUAACCUCCAAAGAUGAAUGAUUAAUGAGCUGAUGUCAACCUGGAGGAAGGUUAUGAAAGCAUGAUGCUCCCAAACCUGUUUAUAUUCCCUUACAUAAAGCCCAUAUCUGCAAUGUAAGCAAUGUAGGAAGGCAUUUACUCAAGGCAGAGGCUUUAGAAGAGUAAAGAAUUCAUACUGGUAAAAAACUUAUUGGUUUAUCCUUUUAAUAUGUCUUUAUGAUCUACAGCAAUGUCUCUACUCUCAUUCCUGAUAUCAGUAGUUUCUGUCUUCUUUUUUUCCUGAUAAUUCUGUUGAGGCUUAUCAAUUUUAUUGAUCUUUUUGAAGUACCAGCUUUUGGUUUCAUUGACUGUUCUCUAUUAUUUAUUUUUAUUUUAUUGAUCUCUGGUCUUUCUUACUGCCUCUUUUGGGUUUCGUUUGCCCAUCUUUUCUGCUUUCUUAAGGUAAAAGCUUAGAUCAUUCGCUUGAGAUGUUUCUUCUUUUCUAAUGAAAGAAUUUGAUGUUUUCUAAGCACUAUUCAUCUAUACACCAUCCAUUUUGAUAUGUUGUGUUUCCAUUUUCAUUCAGCUCAAAAUACUCUUCUAAUUUCUCCUGCCAUUUCUUCUUUAUUCAUGGGUUAUUUGAAAACCUGUCAUUUAAGUAUCCCAAUAUUUGGAGAUUCUCUGGAUAUUUUUCUUUGAUUUCUAACUUAAUUCUCCUGUGGAAUAUACUUGCAUACUCUGUAUAUUUUGCCUAUUUUUCAAUUUAUUGAGACUUGUCUCAUUGCCUACAAUGUGGUCAUUCUUGGUGAGUUUUCCAUGUGUACUCGAAAAGAAUAUACAGUUUCUGCCAUACUAUCGUUCUUCUACCAGUUGUUGAAAGAUGUUGAAAUCUCCAACUAUAAAAUGUGGAGUUGUUUUCUUUUCAAUUUCAUCAGUUUUUGAUUCAUAUACUUUGAAGCUCUGCAUAAACACUUAAAAUUGUUAUGACCAUUUUAACAUUAUGAAAUGCCUUUCUUUAUCCCUGGUAGUAUUCUUUGUUCUAAAAUUGUCUUGUCUAUUAUUAAUAUAGGCUAUUCCAACUUUCUUUUGAUUAAUGUUUACAUGGUAUAUCUAUUUUACCUUUUAUAUUUUUAAUUUAUGUGUCUCUUAGUAUUUAAAGUAAGUUCAAGUAGAUAGCAUCUUCUUUUCUAGCCAAUCUGAGUAUCUCUGCCUAUUCAUUGAAGUAUUUAGACUUUUUGUAAUUAAUGUAAAUAUCAAUAUAAUUUGGCUUAAAUUCA